rnacentral:tRNA from 1 species
UCUUCUUUAGCUUAAAAUUUUAAAGUGUUAGUUUGAAGAGCUAGAGAUAUUUAAAUAAUAGGAGGAG